UAUCGCGUGCAAAAAAUAUUGGUAAUUAUACAAUUACAACACCCUCACGGAGUCACGGUGACUGGCCCAAGUCAUAAGCAAAUUCCUUUGGAACCUGUAGAAUCUCUCAUACGCAAAUUCGUCACUCAUACGCAAAUUCCAAAGCUCGAAUUGCAGGAAAGGAAGCAAAUGGGUAAUGCACCAUCGACGCUUACCCAAUAUGAUAUUGAAGAAGUUCAAGAGCACUGCGAUAAACUAUUCAAUCAGCAAGAUAUAGUCUCUUUGUAUCAAAGAUUUUGUCAACUUGAUCGGAGUGACAAAGGUUUUGUAUCGGCUGAUGAAUUUAUGUCUGUGCCGGAGUUUGCAAUGAACCCUUUAGCUCAGAGGUUGCUGAAGAUGGUGGAUGGAUUAAACUUUAAGGAUUUUGUUGCAUUCUUAUCUGCAUUCAGUGCCAAAGCAAGCAUUGAGCACAAAGCUGCACUUAUUUUCAAGGUUUAUGACUCAGAUGGUAAUGGAAAGGUGACUUUCAAUGACAUCUUAGAAGUGCUAGAGGACAUGACUGGUUCAUUUAUGUCUAAGGAGCAAAGAGAGGCGGUCUUGACACAGUUGUUGGAGGAAGCUGGCUACACAAGGGAAUCUUAUCUGCUUCUGGAUGACUUCGUUAAGUUUUAAUUGUUAGUAGGAAGCUUCUUUUCUAGUGAUGUCCUUUAUUGGAUAUUUUCUGAAGUUAAUGUCGCCCCCUGCUGUCCUGUGCAGUUGUGCUAUGCUGCCCUUCUAGCAUCCUUGACAUCAGUUCUUUUAAUGCAAUUUUAAUUGUUAGUAGGAAGCUUCUUUUCUAGUGAUGUCCUUUAUUGGAUAUUUUCUGAAGUUGACAAGGAGCAGUUUGUAUAUAAAUCCUCUGUUGAAUGAACUGGGAAGCUGAACUUCCAUUUAAUGAAGUAGUUGUCUCAGAGUCUUCAACAUACCAAACACAGGAGAAUGCAAAGUUGAUGUCUUCCAUUGCAAUGAUUUUUGCUAAUUCCGACUUGAAGAUGGAGGUAGAGGUUCCUGUUGAUUAAGUAAACCCUAGGAAAUGAGAGGAAACACUUAUUAUUUAUCAGAAACAGCUGUUGCUGGAAUGUGUUUGGUGGAGCAACCGUGCCUGCAGACUGAUAUGGAUAGACUUUGUCACGCAACUGCAAAGGACACGCAUGCGCCAAUCUUCGUAUUUUAUGAGUGGUUUCAGUAAAAGAAAUUUCUUCUUUGUUUUAUUCAUGCUUUAAGAAGCUAUCAAUCUCUGUCGUCUGUUAAGUGUGUAAGGCAUGAUUGCAAUUUUAGCUGAGUGUCUUUGCUCAGGUAGUAAUUUCAUGGCAUACAGUGAGUGAGGAAUCAUAACUAACGGUGUCAGUCUUGUACAUUAUCUUUUUUACUGUAUCCGUUUGAACAUGUAAAGUUGUACUA